rnacentral:rRNA from 1 species
UUGAACGCUGGCGGAAUGCUUUACACAUGCAAGUCGAGCGGCAGCGCGGGGCAACCUGGCGGCGAGCGGCGAACGGGUGAGUAAUAUAUCGGAACGUACCCUGUCGUGGGGGAUAACACAUCGAAAGUUGCGCUAAUACCGCAUAUUCUGUGAGCAGGAAAGCAGGGGAUCGCAAGACCUUGCGCUUUAGGAGCGGCCGAUGUCGGAUUAGCUAGUUGGUGGGGUAAAGGCUCACCAAGGCGACGAUCCGUAGCGGGUCUGAGAGGAUGAUCCGCCACACUGGGACUGAGACACGGCCCAGACUCCUACGGGAGGCAGCAGUGGGGAAUUUUGGACAAUGGGCGAAAGCCUGAUCCAGCCAUGCCGCGUGAGUGAAGAAGGCCUUCGGGUUGUAAAGCUCUUUCGGCGGGGAAGAAAUCGCAUUCUCUAAUACAGGAUGUGGAUGACGGUACCCGAAUAAGAAGCACCGGCUAACUACGU